GUGCUAUCGAACUGCUGACUCCCCAUCUGCUUCAGUUGUUCCCCGAGGAAGUUCUUCUUUGUGGGUGUGUAYGGUAUCCUGUGUUGCUUACCCAUGAAAUGGAAUUCGAUGGCUUUGCUUUGUUGAUCCGUCAUGUGCCUUUAGGGGUGCGGGACAGACUUGAGGUGGGCUCUGUGUUCCUUAUGUGCCUAGUGUGUUAUUGCUUGGUCAUUGUGGCUCAUGGAGUAUCGCUUGUUCUCUUGGAUACGGAAUGCUACGCAUGGGCGUGAGGUCUAGGCCUCGUUUCGUCCAAGCAUUGUCCCUUGACUUGAAUGACUGCUAYGUUCGUCUUGAUCUUCCCGACCAAGGCCUCAUAAUGGGGCUUACUGGACGAGGGUUGCUCAUGCGAGCGUCGGCRUCAAAGAGGAAUGC
rnacentral:misc_RNA from 1 species